GGGUAAUAUGGUGAUGAUACAUUUAUGUUGUGGACUAGAGUUUCUGAUCUGGGCUCUUCUCCCGGAAGUUGAAGAAUAACCCUUGGCUGUCUGAGUAUACCC
rnacentral:snoRNA from 2 species